UCACCUAACCGGACCCUCCAACACAGAUUUUAGGGGAUGCAAUUUUAAUAUGGGGGGGAGCCAAAAAAGCAAAA